rnacentral:ncRNA from 1 species
ACAAAGUUUUGGUCCUAAACUUUCUGUUAUUUAUAAUCAAAUUUACACAUGCAAGUCUCAGCACACCAGUGAAAAUGCCCACUAACCAAACUAAGGCCAAUGGAGAGGGUAUCAGGCUCAAUCCCUUUAGCCCAAGACACCUUGUAUUGCCACGCCCACACGGGAUUUCAGCAGUGACCAACAUUAAGCAAUAGGCGAACACAUCAAGCCUGACUUAGUAAUGAUUAUAUAGAUCCGGUAAAUUUCGUGCCAGCCACCGCGGUUAUACGAAAGGCUCACAAUAACAUAAUCGGCGUAAAAUGUGACUAGAAUACGCCCCAUUAAGGAAGAACAUCGCUACAUAGUAAAAUAUCACAGCAUGCAAGAACAACCAACCACAUCCUUAAAACAUUUGAAUUCACGAAAGCCAAGAAACAAACUGGGAUUAGAUACCCCACUAUGCUUAGCCCUAAACUUAGAUAGAAUCUCACACACUAUCCGCCAGAGAACUACAAGCGAAAAGCUUAAAACUCCAAGGACUUGGCGGUGUCCCACAUCAGCCUAGAGGAGCCUGUCCUAUAAUCGACACCACACGCUCAACCCCUCCAUUUUUUGUCCAUCAGCCUAUAUACCGCCGUCGUCAGCCAACCUUAUGAAAGUCUAAAAGUCGGCAAAAUAGUAUGACACUAAAACGUCAGGUCAAGGUGUAGCCUACAAAAUGGUAGAGAUGGGCUACACUCUCUAUCAAAGAAAAUACGAACAGCGCAAUGAAAUAAGCGCUUAAAGGCGGAUUUAGUAGUAAAAUUACCUAGAAUAUUAAUUUUAAAAAGCCCUGGGACACGCACACACCGC